UCAGGACGAACGCUGGCGGCGUGCCUAACACAUGCAAGUCGAGCGGGGACAUACGACGGAGUCAAAGUUUCGGAUGGAGACGAAGAUGUAUGUUCUAGCGGCGGACGGGUGAGUAACGCGUGAGCAACCUGUCCCUUACAGGGGGAUAACACAGCGAAAGUUGUACUAAUACCGCAUGAGACCACGGGAGGACAUCCUCCAGGGGUCAAAGGAGCAAUCCGGUAAGGGGUGGGCUCGCGUCCGAUUAGAUAGUUGGUGAGGUAACGGCCCACCAAGUCGACGAUCGGUAGCCGACCUGAGAGGGUGAUCGGCCACAUUGGGACUGAGACACGGCCCAAACUCCUACGGGAGGCAGCAGUGGGGAAUAUUGGGCAAUGGGGGAAACCCUGACCCAGCAACGCCGCGUGAGGGAAGAAGGUUUUCGGAUCGUAAACCUCUGUCCUUGGUGAAGAGGAAGAGACGGUAGCCAAGGAGGAAGCCCCGGCUAACUACGUGCCAGCCGCAGC
rnacentral:rRNA from 1 species